UGAUGCCAAGGGCAAGAUCUUCCCCGCCUC
rnacentral:piRNA from 1 species